rnacentral:rRNA from 1 species
CCUACGGGUGGCAGCAGUGGGGGAUAUUGCACAAUGGGGGGAACCCUGAUGCAGCGACGCCGCGUGUGGGAAGACGGUCCUCUGGAUUGUAAACCACUGUCCCCAGGGACGAAAAUGACGGUACCUGGGGAGGAAGCUCCGGCUAACUACGUGCCAGCAGCCGCGGUAAUACGUAGGGAGCGAGCGUUGUCCGGAAUUACUGGGUGUAAAGGGAGCGUAGGCGGGGAUGCAAGUUGGGUGUCAAAACUACCGGCUCAACUGGUAGUCGCACCCAAAACUGCAGCUCUUGAGUGAAGUAGAGGCAGGCGGAAGGCCUAGUGUAGCGGUGAAAUGCGUAGAUAUUAGGAGGAACACCAGUGGCGAAGGCGGCCUGCUGGGCGUUUACUGACGCUGAGGCUCGAAAGUGUGGGGAGCAAACAGGAUUAGAUACCCUUGUAGUC